AUGUCUGGGAAACUGCCUGAUGAGGGGGGAGUAACUAACUGGAAACGGUAGCUAAUACCGCAUAAACGUCGCAAGACCAAAGAGGGGGACCUUCGGGCCUCUUGCCAUCGGAUGUGCCCAGAUGGGAUUAGCUAGUAGGUGGGGUAACGGCUCACCUAGGCGACGAUCCCUAGCUGGUCUGAGAGGAUGACCAGCCACACUGGAACUGAGACACGGUCCAGACUCCUACGGGAGGCAGCAUG
rnacentral:rRNA from 1 species